GCCGGAUUCACUUAACAACUGUGUUACUAACUUAACAACUGCAGUGACUCACUUAACAAUGGUUAAAUUUUGGGCUGAAUUGUGGGCAUCAGUCAAGAGCCACCAGGAACAAGGGUGUCGAAUUUCCUCCAUUUGUAUACCAUCUGCUCGACCGUGAACCUGUGGAGUGCAAAGUCUUGAGAAAUAAUUUUGAAAUCCUUUCCAGCCUGUUCAGCAUCAAAGGCUGUUUUUCUGAGGUCUUCAGGAAUCUCCUUUGUUCAGGCUGUGACAUGCUUCCACCUAAUUGUGUUGUGGAGAUCAGACUUCAAAAUAAGGUGGAAACCCCCAUAGUCAACAUCUGAUUAUCAUCCUGUUGAUUAAAACCUGCCGUAAGUCACUUUUUUCAUUGCAGUCUGACUUCAGUUACUAAACAAAUACUCGUAAAUCAAGAACUACCUGUAACCACGGCAUCUCAUAUUUAUAUAUGUAUUGAAUUUCUUUGUUUUAUGAUGUCGAACUUGUAGAAGAUUGGCCUCUGCUCUCUGUUAUUUUAUAUUUAAGAAUGGGGUUUUGGCCUGCUGAAAUACUCAGUUGUUGAGAUACUGCUCAGUUACUACAAGAUCAAUAUCCAGGAAGUGGAACCCAACUUAUUGGAAUUUAUUCAAUUCAAUCUAGGCAUCAUCCAGCUCCAAUUGACGCUGGGCAAAUCGCAGUAUAAUACCGUAAGACAAUACCAGAUGGGAUCCAAUCACCGUAUGCAGUCAAACGGCAGGAUUCAGGUAUUUGCGAUCACAUAAUCCUGAUAAAAGCUUUCCAGAAAAUAUUGGAUCUUCCCCCCCCCCUUUGGACUUAGAUUAUUUGGUGUUAUUUGCCUUGCAUGUAUGCGGUAGUCACAACGAAGCCUAUUGUACAUAAUGUUGAUUUAUUGUGCACCAUAAAAAAAUCACUCUUAACUCAGAGGUCCCCCACCUUUUGGGCACCAGGGACCGGUUCUGUGGAGAGUUUUUUCUGCAGACCGCAGGGUGUGUGCUUUUGUGUACUGCCUGCAUCUCGCGGAUGGGGCUUUGCUUGUUUGUGCGGACCGGUUGCUGGCAUGCGGUGGCCCAGUACUGGUCCACGGACCGGGAUUGGGGACCUCUGCUCUAACUUAUCAGCACGUGACAUAGAAACUUUCGGACUAACGAAAAUCUAAUUGUAACUGAACCAAAGAUUAUAUUCAAUCAGCUGUCUUAGUGUGACCCAUCCUUCCGAGGUCAGGAAAGUGAGGACCCAGAUUGCUGGGGGCAAUAUGCUGACUCUGUAAACCGCUUAGAGGGGACUGUAAAACAAUAUAGCAAUGGCAAUAGCAGACUUAUAUACCGCUAUGAAGCGGUAUAUAAGUCUAAGUGCUAUUGCCAUUGCUAUAUUGUUUCCAGUACGUGUGCUUUAAAAUAAAGGAGAACCUAGAAAUGUGUUUUUCACCCACUUUUAAUUUUCUGUCUUUUUCCAGAUGAGCCGUCCCUGCACCCCAAAGAAUGGUAGUCUGAUGUUGUAAACAUCCCCGACUGGCAGCUGGGAAACAUAGCUUUCAGUCCGAUGUUUGCUACUUCCGGCUACUUAUAAACAACGCUGGAAGGAAAAGAUCCAUUAUAAAGAGGCUUUGUUUCAAAGCUGGCAGGAGACCCUGAGCAUUUCUGCUUCUUAAAGAUUACAGUUUUGGACAACUUGAGAAACACCCACACACUUUCGUACAUUCAUUAAGCUUCUUGGCAUCCCGUUGAGAGCUGAAUGAUUAGGGAAAACAGAGACAGAAUACUUCACUGACAUCUGAAACUUAGGAAUAGCACUAUAUGCUCCUGAACGUUUGGAUGUGUCCUAUCUUUUCCUCUAUUUGUUUAUUGUUGUCACAUGUGCAUGCUGCCAACUCUUUUUACAAGUUGACUUUAGUCCGCUGUGUUAUGGUCACACACAUCUCUCUCAAAUCAGUGCAUCUCUACUCAAUUACCCCAUCAAUUUUUUUUGUGGUGGGGGGGAAAAAUUGAAAAACAGAAGGUGGCAGCUGCUGUUUGCUCCUGAGGAAAAGAAGAUAUUAAAUUGCACAAAGAAACAACUAGCCCUUUGCAUGUUUAAAGACACAAAUGUUCUAGUCACGGGAAGGUGCAGUCGCAUCUGAAAUCCAACUUCCGAAUAAGCUGGUGAUGACUAAUUACAAAGCAGAUUUCAUAUAAAUUCAAAAGGUUAAAUGUAUUUGGGCGCCUCCAUCAUAGCCUUACUUAAAUACGUAAAGCAUUGAAGAAGCCAUUAUCACUAUUUAGUUGGAAGGACAAUGAAAUAUUAAUAUUAUUAAUUAUUAGAGUUUUAUAGCCCACUUUUGGGCCCCUUUGGAGAUCCCUAGUAGCCCAAGGAAAGAUCCGCCAAGUUACUCAUGUCUUGGUUUGUCCUCAUGCUUUUGUUAGCUAUUCUGUAUCUUUGGUUUACAGAAUCCUACAUGUUUUCUUUAAUAGCUGAGCAUAAUUUUUAUUCCUUUGUUCUUGCUGUGAUGUUGUUUUUUAAAUAUGUCCUUCAGCGCUAUUAAAAACUAAUAAAUAUUUAAAGGAAGAAAAAA